ACUACAAGCAGCGAAUGUUGGGGGCUCAAUCGGCGUCAUGCGAAGCCUCGUUGUCGUCUGUCUGCUGGUUUUACUCGUACCCAUCAUUUGGGCGGCUAAGAAGCGCAGAAACUACUACGAACAUGGAAAACACCGUGGAAAUAUGCCUCCAGGGAUGGAUAAGGAAGACCUAAUGCGACUAUGCUUCUUGGAAUGCCCGGGAAUUUGUCGCAUGAGGCCGUCCGAGGUGGAUAAGGUGUGUCGACGUCAUUGCAUGCAAUUUUGCCACCUCAAGGAUUAAAACCGAUUUGCGUGGUCAGGCUGGUUCAUUCCAAUAAGCACCGAGCUAGAGGAAUUAUGCACAAACGUUGGACCUACCUCCCAGACGACUUUAAUGCUCUUGGUAUCGAUGGCUUCACAUUUGACGUUCAUGGGUGGUGCUCCGGGAGCUGUAAUGGAUGUCGUCCAUUGACAAAAGGCGACAUUCUGGCUGCCACUCACCUUCCGAAGCUGUUGUGAAUGACACAAUGUCAGAAGGAUCGCCAAAGCCCACGGAGUUUUCCGCAAGUACCACGGCUGCGUACUCGGUACCAGGAUGCAAGUUGGACACUGUCAGGGAGGCUCGGGAACCGUCCACUUCCCGUUCUUGAAGUACGCUACCUUUGCCUGAAAAUUACUUAUUACAUUAUUGCACGUUAAAACGUAAAAGGGCGGCAAAAAAGUGGGACACUAUUUCUUAGACAAGAAACGGGUUCGAUUUCUCGUUUUGCAGACACAAAAGUAUUCCCUUGAAGCAGCGCAGUUCUACGUGUAUAACCAGCAAAAUUAAUUUCUUACGUGUUUCAAUGUAUAACUGUCUCGCUUCCUGUUAACAAGAAUAACCUAAGUACAGACAGAACUUACCAGACUUUUUCCAGUAUCGGAUGAGGUACCUGGUGACCUGCUUGCUGGGUUGGGACCAUUUGAUCUGAACCUGACGACUGCCGCGCUCGGGAACCACCACGUUGCUCGGACUUGCCGGCGGUUCUAAAUAAGACCAAUCUUGUUAAACAAGAUGUAGUU